rnacentral:rRNA from 1 species
GACGAACGCUGGCGGCGUGCUUAACACAUGCAAGUCGAACGGUGAAGCGCCUUCCUUUUUGGUGGGUGUGGAUGAGUGGCGAACGGGUGAGUAACACGUGAGUAACCUGCCCCCUUCUUCUGGAUAACCGCAUGAAAGUGUGGCUAAUACGGGAUAUUCUGGGUCUGUCGCAUGAUGGGUCUGGGAAAGAUAUUGUUUCGGUGGGGGAUGGGCUCGCGGCCUAUCAGCUUGUUGGUGGGGUGAUGGCCUACCAAGGCGGUGACGGGUAGCCGGCCUGAGAGGGUGGACGGUCACACUGGGACUGAGACGCGGCGCAGACUCCUACGGGAGGCAGCAGUGGGGAAUAUUGCACAAUGGGCGCAAGCCUGAUGCAGCGACGCCGCGUGAGGGAUGGAGGCCUUCGGGUUGUGAACCUCUUUCGCCAGUGAAGCAGGCCUGCCUCGUUUGUGGGUGGGUUGACGGUAGCUGGAUAAGAAGCGCCGGCUAACUACGUG